rnacentral:rRNA from 1 species
UACGUAGGGUGCAAGCGUUAUCCGGAAUUACUGGGCGUAAAGGGCGCGUAGGCGGUUGGAUAAGUCAGCUGUGAAAACCACGGGCUUAACUCGUGGCCUGCAGUUGAGACUGUCUGGCUUGAGUGUGGGAGAGGAGAGUGGAAUUCCUGGUGUAGCGGUGAAAUGCGUAGAUAUCAGGAGGAACACCGGUGGCGAAGGCGGCUCUCUGGACCACAACUGACGCUGAGGCGCGAAAGCUAGGGGAGCAAACAGG